rnacentral:rRNA from 1 species
UACGUAGGGGGCAAGCGUUGUCCGGAUUCACUGGGUUUAAAGGGUGCGUAGGCGGGUAAGUAAGUCCGUGGUGAAAUCUCUGAGCUUAACUCAGAAACUGCCGUGGAUACUAUUUGCCUUGAAUAUUGUGGAGGUGAGCGGAAUAUGUCAUGUAGCGGUGAAAUGCUUAGAUAUGACAUAGAACACCAAUUGCGAAGGCAGCUCACUACACAAUCAUUGACGCUGAGGCACGAAAGCGUGGGGAUCAAACAGG